rnacentral:rRNA from 1 species
UGCCGUCAUUCUGUUGUAUUUUUUAUGACGCCGAGUGAAGACGGGAAGACUAGGGUACCUUUUUUCCUAGGGAAUUAGGUUCCAACAAGUCCAUGAAACUCUGUCCUUAUUAGGUUUCCAGGAGUUUUUGCCUGGAGUUGCGAAUAAAGCUUAUGAGGAUUUUGCCUUUUAAGUUGGGCGUAAAAUGCCCUCUGAAAAGUAAGCUUUUUGGAAAAUUCUAAGCAACUAGAUCAGGUUUUCUACGAACUGGAAAAAUAUUCCUCUUUUUCACUUUAUGUCCUGAUUGGACUAGAGUGAAAGUGGACUUGUUUUUCUGCACCUGUUCCGUAAGGGAAAAGGUGAACUAGGCGUAGCCUUGAGGAAAACCAGGUGAGCAACUAAUUCUUUCCUAGGCUUAAGACCAGCUAAACCUCGUCAUAGUCUUGAAUUUCCUUGGAUCAGCUCGUCCUCUUUUUAGUAGAACCCACCAUUUUUCCUGGUGAGGAAAAGGUUGGGUUGAGUAUCGAGCUUGUGAGACUCUUUUAAUUUCCUUUCUUGUUAGAGGUUAGCUGAGUUGUCCAUAAAGUCUAUUUUGGGCCUACGUCCUUUUCAGUGAACUCGGCAAGAACUGGCACAACUGUUUUCUAGAAACAUAGGUGCUAGAAAGUCUUAGUGCCUUGUACUGCCAAGGGUUCCUACUGGCAGCAGUAUCUUGACUGUGCCAAAGUACCGUAAUUUCUUGUUGCUUUAUUGGCAACCAGGGAAGUAUACAUGAUGUCAUUCCUUUACUGAAAAGGCCUCGUGAAAUAAUGGCCAUGAUGAACACAGCAUGGGUAUU